UUCUCGGAUGGUAGGUCUGGGGGGAUCACCAAGACUGUCAUAACCUGUUUGCAAAGUCACAGUGAGUCAUCUUUGACAAAGUGGUGGUGAUGCUAAUGCUAGCUGGUAAUCCUUUUGGACAACUUGUACAUACCACUUGCAGUAGGAGAGGAAGAUGUCAGUUGUUCCAAGAGAUCCAGUUGAUUUCGUGCGGAUGAGCCUUUGAACACACACACAAGUUUCAGAUUUACUACAAAGAAAAUGCUCAAGCAUACAUGUUCACAAAUUUGUUUGAAAGAGUAGAAGCAUUGUCGUCCUAAAGGUAGAGGCUAUCAACAACGGAAGCAAAAGAAGAACCAAGGUUUCUGGCAUUCAUCUAUGGUCAUCAUGAUCAUGUCCUGGAAAUUUUUUUAUGGAAGAUCACUUUGACAUUGAAAGAAACUAGUGGAAGUUGGUGCUUGCCCGAAGUUUAUCUCUUUGAGUCUUGACCCAGGUACUAACAUUUUCAUUAGUAUCCCUCUUUACUAAUUGACUACACAUUUAUAUAGAAUGAACAAGGAUAAAAUUGCAUGCUGCAGUAAGCAUCUUGAAACUUCUGUAAUGAUAGAAGACAGGUGAUGUUUUAUCUUGAAACUUCUGUAAUAAUAAAAUUCCGUGCUGCAGUAAGCAUCUUGAAGCAUCUUAAAAUUGCAUGCUGCAAUAACCUAGCAGAGGUUAGGUGAUUCUUGUUUUCCUUUUGAUAAACAAACAACCCAAAAAAUACACUACUGAUUGAUAAUAUAUUUUGAUAGAACACUUUGUUUUGGGCAAUUAAUGGCUGUAAAAGAAAACUAUAUUAUCACUACAAGGCUGAGAAGUAUUUCCAUCUUUUUCCCUGUACUAAAUGAUUAUUUCUGGUAUCUGG